GACGAACGCUGGCGGCGUGCUUAACACAUGCAAGUCGAACGGAAAGGCCCUGCUUUUGUGGGGUGCUCGAGUGGCGAACGGGUGAGUAACACGUGUGUAACCUGCCCUUGACUUUGGGGUAACUUCAGGAAACUGGGGCUCAUACCGGAUAGGAGCUCCUGCUGCAUGGGGUGGGUUGGAGAGUUUCGGCGGUUGGGGAUGGACUCGCGGCUUAUCAGCUUGUUGGUGGGGUAGUGGCUUACCAAGGCUUUGACGGGUAGCCGGACUGAGAGGGUGACCGGCCACAUUGGGACUGAGAUACGGCCCAGACUCCUACGGGAGGAAGCAGUGGGGAAUAUUGCACAAUGGGCGGAAGGCUGAUGCAGCAACGCCGCGUGCGGGAUGACGGCCUUCGGGUUGUAAACCGCUUGCGCCUGUGACGAAGCGUGAGUGACGGUAAUGGGUAGAGAAGCACCGGCUAACUACGUG
rnacentral:rRNA from 1 species